rnacentral:rRNA from 1 species
UACGUAGGGGGCAAGCGUUGUCCGGAAUCAUUGGGCGUAAAGAGCGUGUAGGCGGCUCGGUAAGUCCGCUGUGAAAGUCCAGGGCUCAACCCUGGAAUGCCGGUGGAAACUGUCGAGCUAGAGUCCGGAAGAGGCGAGUGGAAUUCCUGGUGUAGCGGUGAAAUGCGCAGAUAUCAGGAGGAACACCGGUGGCGAAGGCGGCGACCUGGGUAGAUACUGACGCUGAGGUGCGAAAGCGUGGGGAGCAAACAGG